GACGAACGCUGGCGGCGUGCUUAACACAUGCAAGUCGAACGGAAAGGCCCUGCUUUUGUGGGGUGCUCGAGUGGCGAACGGGUGAGUAACACGUGAGUAACCUGCCCUUGACUUUGGGAUAACUUCAGGAAACUGGGGCUAAUACCGGAUAGGAGCUCCUGCUGCAUGGUGGGGGUUGGAAAGUUUCGGCGGUUGGGGAUGGACUCGCGGCGUAUCAGCUUGUUGGUGGGGUAGUGGCUUACCAAGGCUUUGACGGGUAGCCGGCCUGAGAGGGUGACCGGCCACAUUGGGAUUGAGAUACGGCCCAGACUCCUACGGGAGGCAGCAGUGGGGAAUAUUGCACAAUGGGCGGAAGCCUGAUGCAGCAACGCCGCGUGCGGGAUGACGGCCUUCGGGUUGUAAACCGCUUUCGCCUGUGACGAAGCGUGAGUGACGGUAAUGGGUAAAGAAGCACCGGCUAACUACGUG
rnacentral:rRNA from 1 species